rnacentral:lncRNA from 1 species
UGGGGAGCACUUUUAAAUAGGAUGGUUGUUGUAUUGUGCAUUGCAUCAUCCAGUGCCUAAGGAGUGCUUAGAGGCAUGCAUCAUUCUAAGGAUUGUUAGCUGUAUGGAAAUGCAUAUCAUGAUUUGGUUGCUGAUUGGUAAAUGUAGGUUGUGGUUGUGAUCCUGUUGUAUCCGUUGGUACGCCGUGCAGAUACAAAGGAGACUCUGCCCGAGUGGACAGAGGAACUUUAUAUUUGUGGCGGGUCUGUACGUCACGUGGGCCAGGUUGAAAAAAAAAAAAUGGCACACCGCAACUCUGUUUUUAAAAGGCUUUUAAAAUCGGCCCUGGGGCGUGACACACACAUAAACAUCGUUAACAGAGAGUUUAGUUGCACUGUCAAAAUCUCAGUCCUUACACAAAAAAUAAAACACACUUGAAAUUUUAUUUUCCAAACUCUUUUCUUCUUCCUCUUCAAUAUUUUUUAUUUUUUCUUCUAUUAUUUAUCCGCCGCAUCGCGCGGGUUACUACACUAGUAGUUAUUUAAGAUGCAUUAUAAAUUGUAAUUAUUAGGAUAAGUUGGAAGGAUCAAAUGGAAUUUUUAAUAAAAGCAUAAGAAUUGAGAAGAUGAAGAGUUUGCAGUUAUCAAAUGGAAGAAAAAAGGGUAGAAGUUGAAAUACAAUAUUUAUUUUUCAUCACAUAAUCCAACUUAUACAAAUCUAGAGUUAAUAUAUACUGUUAAUAAACUAAUUAAUCUAUAAUUAAUGAACUAAAAUUAAUUAA